rnacentral:rRNA from 1 species
AGACGUCUACAUUAGAUACCCCUGUAGUCCAGGGUGUAAACGCUGCAGACUUGGUGUUGGGAACCCUUCGGGGGUGCUCAGUGCCGGAGAGAAGUUGUUAAGUCUGCUACUUGGGGAGUACGUCCGCAAGGAUGAAACUUAAAGGAAUUGGCGGGGGAGCACCGCAACGGGAGGAGCGUGCGGUUUAAUUGGAUUCAACGCCGAAAAACUCACCAGCAGCGACUGUUACAUGAAAGUCAGGUUGAUGACCUUACUAGAUUUUUCAG